rnacentral:rRNA from 1 species
UAAUACUUAGGGGGCGAGCGUUGUCCGGAUUUAUUGGGCGUAAAGAGCUCGUAGGCGGCUUGGCAAGUCGGGUGUGAAACCUCCAGGCUCAACCUGGAGACGCCACUCGAUACUGCUAUGGCUAGAGUCCGGUAGGGGACCACGGAAUUCCUGGUGUAGCGGUGAAAUGCGCAGAUAUCAGGAGGAACACCGGUGGCGAAGGCGGUGGUCUGGGCCGGCACUGACGCUGAGGAGCGAAAGCGUGGGUAGCAAACAGGAUUAGAUACCCUGGUAGUCCACGCCGUAAACGUUGGGCACUAGGUGUGGGGCCUUAUCAACGGGUUCCGUGCCGUAGCUAACGCAUUAAGUGCCCCGCCUGGGGAGUACGGCCGCAAGGCU